UUGGUUAGGAGGAGUGUCACUCUGAAUCUUCCCAGCUGCUGAUUGGGGGAGGCGGACGAAGGGGCGGGGUGGGCGAGCUAGCGCUGCGGAGGAAACUGACCGCGGGAGCCGUAGCCGGAGCGACUCGGCUCGUGCAGAAGAGGAUCGGGCUGCGCCGCGCUGCAGGCAACAAAACCAAAGAAGAGAACAUCUGAUCCUUCAUUUAUGCUCCCAUUUGGGAUUUUAUUUGCAUCAUCUUGGAGCCUAUUUUAAAAAAAAAAAAAAAAGGCAAACCAAAUGCGCACACAACAUGUUGUGCAGAAGGACUUCCACUCCCUGACUGUGCUAUUAAUGUUAAUAAUCGGGAAAAGCCUUUGGGGGCUACAUGAUCUCUCGGCUGAAGCUUGCUGCUGUUGCUGCUAAGGGUUUUGGUGCAGGGAAACAAAACUGCCUUUUCCACCCCCUGAUUUCCUAACAUCUGCAUGUUUCUGCUGCCGCACUCUGUCUCACACCCUCUUCCCAUGGACUGAUUUUUUGUUGUUGUUGAGGGGGGGGGAAGGACAAGAAACCAAGGCAUUUCUUUGGGAGAAACAAAAUUGAUUUAUUUGUUGCAUUCUGGUGGAUCUGUUCUGAGGUUAAUCUU